rnacentral:rRNA from 1 species
GAAGCAACGCGAAGAACCUUACCAGGUCUUGACAUCCUCUGACAACCCUAGAGAUAGGGCUUUCCCCUUCGGGGGACAGAGUGACAGGUGGUGCAUGGUUGUCGUCAGCUCGUGUCGUGAGAUGUUGGGUUAAGUCCCGCAACGAGCGCAACCCUUGAUCUUAGUUGCCAGCAUUCAGUUGGGCACUCUAAGGUGACUGCCGGUGACAAACCGGAGGAAGGUGGGGAUGACGUCAAAUCAUCAUGCCCCUUAUGACCUGGGCUACACACGUGCUACAAUGGAUGGUACAAAGGGCUGCAAACCUGCGAAGGUAAGCGAAUCCCAUAAAGCCAUUCUCAGUUCGGAUUGCAGGCUGCAACUCGCCUGCAUGAAGCCGGAAUCGCUAGUAAUCGCGGAUCAGCAUGC